rnacentral:rRNA from 1 species
UACGGGAGGCAGCAGUGGGGAAUAUUGCACAAUGGGCGCAAGCCUGAUGCAGCCAUGCCGCGUGUAUGAAAAAGGCCUUCGGGUUGUAAAGUACUUUCAGUCGUGAGGAAGGUGUUAAGGUUAAUAACCUUAGCAAUUGACGUUAGCGACAGAAGAAGCACCGGCUAACUCCGUGCCAGCAGCCGCGGUAAUACGGAGGGUGCGAGCGUUAAUCGGAAUUACUGGGCGUAAAGGGCACGCAGGCGGUUAAUUAAGUUGGAUGUGAAAUCCCCGGGCUUAACCUGGGAAUGGCAUUCAAGACUGGUUAGCUAGAGUCUUGUAGAGGGGGUAGAAUUCCAUGUGUAGCGGUGAAAUGUGUAGAGAUGUGGAGGAAUACCGGUGGCGAAGGCGGCCCCUGGACAAAGACUGACGCUCAUGUGCGAAAGCGUGGGGAGCAAACAGGGAUUAGAUACC